CGUUAGAGUUUGAUCCUGGCUCAGGACGAACGCUGGCGGCGUGCUUAACACAUGCAAGUCGAGCGAGGCCCGCUCUUCGGGGUGGUGCCCUAGCGGCGAACGGGUGAGUAACACGUGGGCAACCUGCCCUCAGCUCUGGGAUAACUCCAAGAAAUUGGUGCUAAUACCGGAUGUGACCGCUGACCGCAUGGUCUGGUGGUGGAAAGAUUUAUCGGCUGAGGAUGGGCCCGCGGCCUAUCAGCUUGUUGGUGGGGUCACGGCCCACCAAGGCGACGACGGGUAGCCGGCCUGAGAGGGUGACCGGCCACACUGGGACUGAGACACGGCCCAGACUCCUACGGGAGGCAGCAGUGGGGAAUAUUGCGCAAUGGGCGAAAGCCUGACGCAGCGACGCCGCGUGAGGGAUGACGGCCCUCGGGUUGUAAACCUCUUUCAGCAGGGACGAAGCGCAAGUGACGGUACCUGCAUAAGAAGCACCGGCCAACUACGUGCCAGCAGCCGCGGUAAUACGUAGGGUGCAAGCGUUGUCCGGAAUUAUUGGGCGUAAAGAGCUCGUAGGCGGUCUGUCACGUCGGCUGUGAAAACCCGAGGCUCAACCUCGGGCCUGCAGUCGAUACGGGCAAACUAKAGUGUUGCAGGGGAGACUGGAAUUCCUGGUGUAGCGGUGAAAUGCGCAGAUAUCAGGAGGAACACCGGUGGCGAAGGCGGGUCUCUGGGCAACAACUGACGCUGAGGAGCGAAAGCGUGKGGAGCGAACAGGAUUAGAUACCSUGGUAGUCCACGCCGUAAACGUUGGGCGCUAGAUGUGGGGGCCAUUCCACGGUCUCCGUGUCGCAGCUGACGCAUUAAGCGCCCCGCCUGGGGAGUACGGCCGCAAGGCUAAAACUCAAAGGAAUUGACGGGGGYCCGCACAAGCGGUGKAGCAUGUGGUUUAAUUCGACAGCAACGCGCAGAACCUUACCUGGGUUUGAACUGCACAGGAAAGGCUCAGAGAUGAGUCGCCCUCUUCGGAGGUCUGUGUAGAGGUGCUGCAUGGCUGUCGUCAGCUCGUGCCGUGAGAUGUUGGGUUAAGUCCCGCAACGAGCGCAACCCUUGUUCAUAGUUACUAACGCGUAAUGGCGAGGACUCUAUGGAGACUGCCGGUGAUAAACCGGAGGAAGGUGGGGAUGACGUCAAGUCCUCAUGGCCUUUAUGUCCAGGGCUACACACGUGCUACAAUGGACAGUACAGAGAGUCGCGAGACCGCAAGGUGGAGCUAAUCUCAAAAAGCUGUUCUCAGUUCGGAUUGCAGUCUGCAACUCGACUGCAUGAAGUUGGAAUCGCUAGUAAUCGCGGAUCAGCACGCCGCGGUGAAUACGUUCCCGGGCCUUGUACACACCGCCCGUCACAUCACGAAAGUCGGUUGCACUAUAAGUCGGUGGGCUAACCCGCAAGGGAGGCAGCCGCCUAAAGUGUGAUCGGUAAUUGGGGUGAAGUCGUAACAAGGUAACC
rnacentral:rRNA from 1 species